rnacentral:rRNA from 1 species
GACGAACGCUGGCGGCGUGCUUAACACAUGCAAGUCGAACGGAAAGGCCCUGCUUGCAGGGUGCUCGAGUGGCGAACGGGUGAGUAACACGUGGGUGAUCUGCCCCUUACUUUGGGAUAAGCCUGGGAAACUGGGUCUAGUACUGGAUAGGACCAUGCUGUAGGUGGUGUGGUGGAAAGAUUAGUUUCGGUAAGGGAUGAGCUCGCGGCCUAUCAGCUUGUUGGUGGGGUAAUGGCCUACCAAGGCGUCGACGGGUAGCCGGCCUGAGAGGGUGGACGGCCACAUUGGGACUGAGAUACGGCCCAGACUCCUACGGGAGGCAGCAGUGGGGAAUAUUGCACAAUGGGCGCAAGCCUGAUGCAGCGACGCCGCGGGGGGGAUGACGGCCUUCGGGUUGUAAACUCCUUUCAGCCAUGACGAAGCCCUUGUGGUGACGGUAGUGGUAGAAGAAGCACCGGCUAACUACGUG